AGCCUGCCAGUGACCCGUUUAACGGCCGCGGUAUCCUAACCGUGCGAAGGUAGCGUAAUCACCUGUUUUUUAAUUAAAGACCUGUAUGAAUGGCAUCACGAGAAUCACACUGUCUCCUUUCUCUAAUCAGUGAAACUAAUCCCCCUGUGAAAAAGCAGGAAUAAACUUGCAAGACGAGAAGACCCUUUGGAGCUUUAGACAAUGUGAUGACCCCCCCCCCCCUCAUCCCUAGUCUUCGGUUGGGGCAACCACGGAAAAUAAAAGAACCUCCGAGAUAUACACCCGCAAAAGCCACACCUUAAAACAUCAAACUGACAUUAAUUGACCCAGCAUUCUGACCAACGAACCAAGUUACCCAAGGGAUAACAGCGCAAUCCACUUAGAGAGCCCCUAUCGACAAGUGGGCUUACGACCUCGAUGUUGGAUCAAGAUACCCCUGUGG
rnacentral:rRNA from 1 species